rnacentral:rRNA from 1 species
GACGAGCCACACGAACGUUAUUCGGAAUUACUGGGCUUAAAGGGUGCGUAGGCGGUGCGGAAAGUUGGGUGUGAAAUCCCUCGGCUCAACCGAGGAACUGCGCCCAAAACUACCGUACUCGAGGAAGAUAGAGGUGAGCGGAACUUACGGUGGAGCGGUGAAAUGCGUUGAUAUCGUAAGGAACACCCGUGGCGAAAGCGGCUCACUGGGUCUUCUCUGACGCUGAUGCACGAAAGCGUGGGGAGCGAACAGG